GACCCAAUGGUGUAGUGGAAACAUACUUGUAUACAAUAGACAGGGAAACUACAAAUGUCUGCAAGAGAUCCCUGUUCAAUUCAGGGUUGGGUUG